GAUGAACGCUGGCGGCGUGCUUAACACAUGCAAGUCGAACGGAAAGGCCCUGCUUUUGUGCGGUGCCCGAGGGGCGAACGGGUUAGUCACACUGCAGUAACCUGCCCUUGACUCUGGGAUAACUUCAGGAAACUAGGGCUAAUAAUGGAUAGACGCCCCUGCCCCCUUGUUGGAGCUGGAAAGUUUCGGCGGGUGGGGAUGGACUCGCGGCUUAUCAGCUUGUUGGUGGAGUAGUGGGUUACCAAGGGUUAGACGGGUAGCCGGCCAGAGAGGGUGACCGGGCACAGGAGGACUGAGAUACGGCCCGGACUCCUACGGGAGACAGCAGUGGGGAAGAUUGCACAAUGGGCGCAAGCCUGAUGCAGCAACGCCGCGUGCGGGAUGACGGCCUGCUGGUUGUAGGCCGGUUUCGCGUGUAACGAUGCGUGAGUGACGGUAAUGGGUAAAGAAGCACCGGCUAACUACGUG
rnacentral:rRNA from 1 species